ACGAGCGCACCCUUGUCCUUAGUUGCCAUCGGGUAAUGCCGGGCUCUCUAGUGAAACCGCCUGGAAAACGGGGAGGAAGGGGGGGAUGACGUCAAGUCCUCAUGGCCUUUAUGUCCGGGGCUACACACGUGCUACAAUGGUCGGUACAAACCGUCGCAAACCCGCGAGGGGGAGCUAAUCGAAAAAAGCCGGCCUCAUUUCGGAUUGGAGUCUGCAACCCGACUCCAUGAAGCUGGAAUCUCUAGUAAUCGCAUAUCAAAACGCCGCGGUAAAUACUUUCCCGGGCCUUGUACACCCCCCCCGU
rnacentral:rRNA from 1 species